AUGCCUCCACCUUAUCUCUUACGCCUCCACCAACAGCCUUCUUUGAUUUCUACCGAUUUGCCGCUAUUUUCGCUCAUACUUCUCCGACCUUCUCUGAUUUCAUCUCAACCUUUUCGUCUACCACUGCUCAAUUCUGCCUCAUCACCUUCGGUUCACACAUCUCCGCAACAAUGGCUCCGGCGACAUUUUAACAAAGACAUCACAAGAACUAGCGGUGGAGUGUAUUCUCAUUCUUCUUCGACUUCGAUAUGA